rnacentral:rRNA from 1 species
UACGUAGGUGGCGAGCGUUGUCCGGAUUUACUGGGCGUAAAGCGCGUGUAGGCGGCUCUUCAAGUCAGACGUGAAAGCCCCGGGCUUAACUCGGGAACUGCGUUUGAUACUGUCGAGCUAGAGUGUGGAAGGGGCGAUUGGAAUUCCGUGUGUAGCGGUGAAAUGCGUAGAUAUACGGAGGAACACCAGGGGCGAAGGCGGAUCGCUGGGCCAACACUGACGCUGAGACGCGAAAGCUAGGGGAGCAAACGGG